rnacentral:rRNA from 1 species
UACGUAGGGUGCAAGCGUUGUCCGGAAUUAUUGGGCGUAAAGAGCUCGUAGGCGGUUUGUCGCGUCUGCUGUGAAAACCCGAGGCUCAACCUCGGGCCUGCAGUGGGUACGGGCAGACUAGAGUGCGGUAGGGGAGAUUGGAAUUCCUGGUGUAGCGGUGGAAUGCGCAGAUAUCAGGAGGAACACCGAUGGCGAAGGCAGCUCGCUGGGACGGUACUGACGCUGAGGCGCGAAAGCGUGGGGAGCGAACAGG